UCAAAGAGGGUGAUAAUCCCGUACUCGAAAGUAUGGUAGUGGAACUAAGCUUACGAUAAGUAAGGCGGGACACGAGAAAUCCUGUUUGAAGAUGGGGGGACCAUCCUCCAAGGCUAAAUACUCCUGAUUGACCGAUAGUGAACCAGUACUGUGAAGGAAAGGCGAAAAGAACCCCGGUGAGGGGAGUGAAAUAGAACCUGAAACCCUGUACGUACAAGCAGUAGGAGCGAGGGCAACCUUGUGACUGCGUACCUUUUGUAUAA
rnacentral:rRNA from 1 species